rnacentral:snRNA from 1 species
GGAAAAAUACAGAGCUUAUUAAGGCACCUACACAAAGAUGACUCAAAUUCAUAAAGCAUUUCAUAUUUUU